UCAACUUUUUCUGUGUAUGGAUUUUGUGGAUAAGCACUAAUGUACAGAAUAAUACAAGUUAAUUUAAAGUAUAUUAUUGUUUAUUUUAUUUGAAUUAUUAUUAUUAUUAUUUAUUUAUUCUUUUGCCAACCCCCAUAAUCCCAUGCCCAAACAUAAUGCAACGCAGUGACAUCGCGCUAUUGCGCCAUUUUGCGACUACUUGGCGGUCUUUUUUGAAUCGGCAUCAAUUUAUCAGGCGGCCUGCAGUGCACUUACAGCUCGAACUGUGAAGCCAUAUUGUUGUAAGGUUGAUGACAAAUGAGGACAUGGCCUGUUUCAGUAUGAAGUGGGGGAAGGGGAAGCUUGCCUUCACCAAGAUCAAUCUGUACACUGUUGUCACAGAGAGUGUCCAGAAAACAUCAAAAGAGAUG